AGUCGUGUCAUUGUCAGAUACCUGAGAAGGCUCCUCUCUUUCAGUGUCUGUGGGGUGUGUGUGUGUGCGCGCGCACGCGCGCGCGGGGCUCUUACCCUGCAGGAUUAAAGCCUUAGGUUAUUUCCUUUCGUCUAGCGGACUUAUUCAGACUGGGAAAUGGAGGCACCACGACCGUAAAUAACAUGCCCAAUUGGUAGAAGGGAGACUUGAACCCAGGCAAGCUGCUUCUCGAUCUCCUGUACAUAAACCAGAACGUCUGACCUGCUUUGCUCAAGUGUUUUACGAAGUCAGAAAAUUUGAAACCCAACUUUCAGAAAGUCUUUGUGAUUUCUGCUUUUCUCUUCCGUCUCCCACCACACAUGAGGCACAAGAUCAGCUGAUACCAUGGGCUGGUGUCAUGAAAGCUCUUCGGUGCCAACACCAUAGCUGUCUUUGCUGUACCUCAACAAAGCCAAGGUGCCUUUUCCUGAGAGGCUGUUGUAUAGCCAGCUUUGAACAUCUCCAGUAAAGGGACUUACUACCUCACAUUGCCUCCCCUUCAAUUUUCAGUUUGUAAAUAAUUAAAUGAACACAACUGAGGAGAAUAAACCACUGUUGCAUCUUGGCCCAAAGCUCAACUAUUGUUUCUUUGCCAUAAAUUCUUCAAAAUGGAAUCAUGAGAUCAAAAUAUAUGGACAGCUUGGUGGCUCCUGUUUUGACUAGCAAAUUUCUUUGGGGAAAAAAAAUGUUUCUGCUCACUACCUUGUCAACCCAAAGCCCAAUGGCUCUCACAUCCCGUAUUCCACAGGGACAUACCCCACCUUUGUCCUGGACCUUGGAUACACACACUGCAUGUGUGCAUCAAGGUUUUAGCAAGGCCAUCCUCAAGGCAGAGGUGAGAGUCCGUGCUGGGCAAGCUGACUCACGCUGGCCUCGUCCCAAGGCUGACCUCAGCCCCAGUGAGAAGGCAGAGAGGAAAUGCUGCUGCUCCUUCGGCUUGGAGAACACAUGCCUGGGGCAGUAGAGGGGAGCAGGAUAGAGAACUGCACUGUCAAAAGGACUUUCCUGCUAGAGUAGGAGUCAAUGUGGCGUACUGCUGUCAGGCAUUUUCAUGAUAAAAGCCACUAUUUGUUCAGUUAGAAGGGGAGAUUACCAAUUCUUCAUUCACCCAUUGCUCUCCAUGUUCCUGUUCUAGAGAAGAGCAAUGGGUCAGUCACAAUUUCUGCAGAGCACGAUCCUCAGCUCAUGAGUCUGUCAGGGUCCUGAGGGAGGGGGCCUGUCCAGUUGUGCUACCUUCUACUCUACCCCCAGCACCUGGUACCGUGCCUGGUAUACAGUAAAUAUUUGUUACAUUCAUAAAUGAACGAAUGUAUUCUUAGAAGUCGAAACUUCCAGUAAAGGUGACAACCCAGAGCUUUCUCUCCAGGGGACAUUCAAUCCAAGCGACAUGUGACAGUUUUGUGUUUUAUUAAUAGUAAACAUUGACAACACAAUGUUUAGCUGACUGAUAGUGAAUAUCAGCCAUGCCCUUGAUGUAAAGACCAGCCCAAACAAAAGGAAAUUAAUUCCAUAAAUUCUCUUGUGAGACACAGUUGAAGCAGUAAUUUUCAGGGAAACUACAAGAUUAUUUUGAAUUCGGCUGGUGCACUUGUUCUCCUUGAGGGAAUGAAGAUCUGAUGAGUCAGCGAUGCAUUUGGUGUUUUAUCUCCAAAUGGUCUUGCAUGAAUUAAUCAUUAGAAAGCACGCAGGGCUCCACCCAUGUUUACUUUCCAUUUUCAAGAUUAUGUUUCACAAAUCCCCAAAUAACACUGAAAAUAAUUUUUUUUCUGAAAGUUCUGUUAAAAAAAUAAAACUAUAGUAUGAGUAGGAUAUUUUUCUUUCAUUUCCAAUUCUAACUGGUUGUUGUAAGUAUAUAGAAAAGCUAUUAUUAAUUUUUGAUAUUAGUGGCUUUUGAUGUCUAGCCAUUUUUUCAAAUUCCUUUAGCAUUUUUGUUGUGGUUGAAUUUCUUAUGACUUCUAAUUAUACUCCCAUAUUAUUUGCUAACAUUCCACUAACACACUGCUAGAUUAAAUUUGCUAAUGUUUUCGUUAGAAUUGUUUAUCUUUUAAGGAAAAGUGUUCUGUAACUUUUGUGUUAUAUGUUUUGUAGUUGGUUUUGGUAUAUUAAGUCCCAGGAUACACAAUUAAUGUACAGAAAUCUGUUGC